AAACACCAAGCCCAAGGCGUUUCUCAGAAAUCUGAAGUCUUCAUGGUCCAUGUCUUUGUCUGGGCGUCAUUUUAGGACUUCGUAAGAGGCAUACAUGAAGUACCUCAUCGUCUUAAAUUCAACAUGGCGUUUUUUUAAGUUCUCUUCGCUGGUAAAUGUAAAGGAUUUCAAAAAGGAAAUGACCUCAACACUUGAUGUUGAGGAUAUUAGUCUUGAAGAAAAUAUUAGAGAUCGAUCAAAACUUUUGGAGAAUAUAACCCAGGACACCUUAAAAGAAGUUGAAGAUGUUUGUAGCGUGUUACCUGAAUCCAGAAAUUCUCGCUGAGCAUCAUUCAAACAAAAGAAUUAUAUCAUCCUUUCAGAACAGCUGCAAAAGGCGAAAGCAGCUGUCACCGGUCAUAAAAUAGAUAGACAAGAAGUUGUCCUUUCUGCAGCACUAUAUCAUCCCAUGAAGAAUUUUUGGUACUUGGAAGAGAGACAUGAACUGAUUUACGUGACAAAAUAUCUUGUCCCGCGGAUUCUAUUGUCGUCGGGGAGCACAGCGAGAAUCCCGAUUUUCCAAGAAUCGCUACAGGCAAGGAUAUUUGCCCGUCUGCUUUUAUAUUCAUUGAGAGUGUUUUCUACAAUGACACCAGAAGCGAUUUAUGUCGAAAUUAUAGCAAACUUUAUAUGGAUUGGAAUAACAAAAAGCACAAUGGCGAGCUACCUCGAUACCGUGUUUGUUCAAGCAAGAAAAUGGAAGAGACAAAGUUUGAGGAUUUAACAAUUAAACUUGGCUAUCCCUAUGUUUUUGUGCACCAGGGUGACUGGGAGCAUUUGCUAUUGUUUCGUAAUUUAAGGACCGUUUCAACCGGAAAAGGGCCAGGCAGAGACCCAGCAGCCACGAUGACUUGAGACAAGUGGUCAACCAAUGCUGGCAAGGUAUUGAACGUGAGACACUAAAAAACCUAUGAAAUCUAUUCCAGCCUAAAUAAAGGCCGUUUCAUGAGCAAAAAAGAGGGAUAAAAGGCAUUCACAUGUAAUGCAUGUUUGCACAUUAACAUA